UACGUAGGUGGCGAGCGUUGUCCGGAUUUAUUGGGUUUAAAGGGUGCGUAGGCGGUCCUAUAAGUCAGUGCUGAAAUAUCCCGGCUUAACCGGGAGGGUGGCAUUGAUACUGCAGGACUUGAGUGAAGUCGAGGUAGGCGGAAUUGACGGUGUAGCGGUGAAAUGCUUAGAUAUCGUCAAGAACACCGAUAGUGAAGACAGCUUACUAGACUUCAACUGACGCUGAGGCACGAAAGUGUGGGGAUCAAACAGG
rnacentral:rRNA from 1 species